AUUGAACGCUGGCGGCAUGCUUUACACAUGCAAGUCGAACGGUAACAGGCCGCAAGGUGCUGACGAGUGGCGAACGGGUGAGUAAUGCAUCGGAACGUGCCCAGUCGUGGGGGAUAACUACUCGAAAGAGUAGCUAAUACCGCAUACGAUCUAUGGAUGAAAGCGGGGGACCGUAAGGCCUCGCGCGAUUGGAGCGGCCGAUGUCAGACUAGGUAGUUGGGGGGGUAAAGGCUCACCGAGCCAACGAUCUGUAGCUGGUCUGAGAGGACGACCAGCCACAGGUGUGAUGAGAUGCUCCCCAACCCCCUAAGGGAGCCAGGAGUGAGAAUUUUUGGAAAGGGGGCGGAAGCCAGACCCAGAAAGUCGGCGUGAGAGAAGAAGGCCCAUGGGUUGUAAACGGUUUUUGUACGAAGCGAAUAGGCCUUUGUUAACCCCCGGGGUAAAGACCGGACCCGGAAAAAAAGGCCCGGCCAACCCCGUG
rnacentral:rRNA from 1 species